AUCGCUUCUCGGCCUUUUGGCUAAGAUCAAGUGUAGUAUCUGUUCUUAUCAGUUUAAUAUCUGAUACGUCCCCUAUCUGGGGACCAUAUAUUAAAUGGAUUUUUGGGACAGGGAGAUGGGAGAAGAGCUUGCUCUGUCCACUCCACGCAUUGACCUGGUAUUGCAGUACCUCCAGGACCGGUGCACCUCUC
rnacentral:snRNA from 1 species